AACGCUUGCUGCUGCCUAGGCCCCCUCUCCAAUGUAUACAGGCCAGGGUCUCAGAGAAUGGCUCUGCCGGAAGCGGGCCUGGCUUCCCAGGUCAACUGAAGCAAUCAAGACAUCCCUCCAUGGGCGUGCCAGAGAGGUUCAUCUCUCCGUGACAGGCAGAAAGGCCUCGGAGUUCAGCCUCUUCUGCCUCUCAUCCCACCCUAGAGGGUUCGUGUUGGAACGGAGCCCGACAUUAAUAAUACGUUGGAGAGGAGAGACGAGAGCGGCACCUGCCUUGUAAUCGCGGCGCGCAGGUCUCUUUAUUUGACCAUUUUUACCAAACACUUCAGCCUUGCUAAUUGAACAACUGGAGAGCUCGAGAGCUUGGCCUCCCCACUGUGUGUUAUCUGCAGAAAAUGAGUCAGUGUGCACUGACUACGGCUUCUCAGAGUCCCUGCCCAUCACAGAGGAGGCUCCACCCCACGAGACUUAGAUCCUUCAGUGAUGUUCCAUGCGUGGAGGAAUGCGGAGGGUUGGUCUUUCCUACCUGCCCAUGACAUUAUCUCAGGCUGUCUCCAUUGCUCCAUCUCUCCAUCCUCCUGUCUGGGCCUCAUGAGUGCUGCCGUUUGCAGUGCUGGAUCAAACCCAGAGCCUGUGCAAGACAAGAACUCUCUGAGAACUACAACCACAGCUUUGGAACCCCACUAGUGUCCUUUCAAACACAAAAGGUUUUCUCCCCCCAGAUUUUGAUGAGGUCCAACACAUCUAUUUGUUAUCUUGUCUAGACUCAGUAUCACCUAAGAAACUGUCAUCUACUUCAAUGUCAAGACUCAUCCCGUAUGUACAGUUUACUGUUUUUUGUUGUUGUUGUUGUUGUGGUUGUUGUUUAAUGAGAAUUUUAGUCCUUUCUUUUUUAAAAACAGGUUUCUUUUUCACACUUUAUGUUUUUCCUUCCCCUAAGUCUUUCCAGAUCCCCCCGCUGCCCUACCCACACAACUUUGUGUUCUCUAGAUCCCUCUCUCAAAAUAAACAAUAAUACAAAAC